UACGUAGGGUGCGAGCGUUGUCCGGAAUUAUUGGGCGUAAAGGGCUCGUAGGCGGUUUGUCGCGUCGGGAGUGAAAACCUACAGCUUAACUGUGGGCUUGCUUUCGAUACGGGCAGACUAGAGGUAUGCAGGGGAGAACGGAAUUCCUGGUGUAGCGGUGAAAUGCGCAGAUAUCAGGAGGAACACCGGUGGCGAAGGCGGUUCUCUGGGAAUGUCCUGACGCUGAGGAGCGAAAGUGUGGGGAGCGAACAGG
rnacentral:rRNA from 1 species